GGCCAAGCCAUCAUAAGCAUGAAUACUGUUGGGGAAAUGUUGGCGUGAUGUCAAUUUGCCCUUUAUUGAGACCCCCUACAGUAUGGAAGCAGGCCCUUCAGCCCAUCGAGCCCACACCAUUUUUUUGGCAGCAGUUGGAGUGGGAGGAGUGACAACGAGGACCAGAGGCUCAACGGGAAGGGGUAAAUGGAAAUUCCAGACUCGGCACAAAACUCCACCAUACUAGCAGGGGUGUGACUAAGGGAAUCCAG